rnacentral:rRNA from 1 species
UACGUAGGAGGCGAGCGUUGUCCGGAAUUACUGGGCGUAAAGCGCGCGUAGGCGGUCUGUCGCGUCGGCGGUGAAAGCCCUCGGCUCACCUGGGGGAGGUCCGCCGAAACGGACAGACUGGAGGGCGGUAGGGGCUGGCGGAACGCCCGGAGUAGCGGUGAAAUGCGUUGAGAUCGGGCAGAACACCAGUGGCGAAGGCGGCCGGCUGGGCCGACCCUGACGCUGAGGCGCGAAAGCCAGGGGAGCGAACGGA